UACGUAGGGUGCAAGCGUUGUCCGGAAUUAUUGGGCGUAAAGAGCUCGUAGGCGGCUAGUCGCGUCGGCUGUGAAAACCUGGGGCUCAACCCCGGGCCUGCAGACGAUACGGGCUAGCUAGAAUUCGGUAGGGGAGACUGGAAUUCCUGGUGUAGCGGUGAAAUGCGCAGAUAUCAGGAGGAACACCGGUGGCGAAGGCGGGUCUCUGGGCCGAUAUUGACGCUGAGGUGCGAAAGCGUGGGGAGCAAACAGG
rnacentral:rRNA from 1 species